rnacentral:rRNA from 1 species
UACGAAGGGGGCUAGCGUUGCUCGGAAUCACUGGGCGUAAAGGGUGCGUAGGCGGGUCUUUAAGUCAGGGGUGAAAUCCUGGAGCUCAACUCCAGAACUGCCUUUGAUACUGAGGAUCUUGAGUACGGGAGAGGUGAGUGGAACUGCGAGUGUAGAGGUGAAAUUCGUAGAUAUUCGCAAGAACACCAGUGGCGAAGGCGGCUCACUGGCCCGUUACUGACGCUGAGGCACGGAAAGCGUGGGGAGCAAACAGG